CAAGGCCCCAGUGUACACAUGGAUACAGGACAUCUUAUCAGAGCGAUUACGAAAUAACGAAUACGGGGCAUUUUAUCAGAGUGAAUGUACAAAUAAAUAAUGAAAGAAAGGAAAAGACGGAUAUCUGAAAACAUGUCAUCUGAGCAGGUUACCAGAGCCGGCCAGAUCCAGCUCCGUUCCUGCUUGGUGUUGGACUCCACUUCUACGUGUCUCUGAGUGAUGAUGACUAAAUGCAGCCGGUGCCAGCCAGACAUCACUUCAGUCUAUUACAAUGGACUUCAGGGGAUGAACUGAUGCCAACUCCAACCAUAAGACAUGGGAUAGUUCAUAUGCCACUGCCUAAACCUUGGACUUAGGAUAGACCUCACCGAAAUGUACUGCCGGCUGAACUGCAAUGCACCUCACUGAUCUCUGCCUGCAUCAUCUUGGUCUAAUUAUGGAGUACACUCUUAAAAUGGAAUACAUAGACUAUCAAUUAAUUGCCAACAAAAGCUUUCAUCAGCCAGCUAACAAACUUCUGUAGUUAAUCCAGGAUGAACUUCAAAAGCAUUAGUCAUUAAUCUUACAGUUCAUACAAAAUCUUCGUUUAAACACUGGCCUUUAACACUUAGUUUACUAAUUUUAAACCAUGACUUGCACUGCACAUAAAAAACGAAUUAUAUUCAUAUGCAUUAUAUUCAUGCUGUUUAGCCAGAGGCGAACUGGCCCCCACAUUGAGCCUGGUUUUUCCCAAGGUUAUUUUUCUCCAUUAAAAAUAGUUUUGUGUUUUGUGUUCCUUGCCACAGUCGCCUUCGGCUUGCUCACGGGGGUUCUAAAUACAAUUAUUAUUUAAUUAUUGAUUUUUUACACAUUUUACAAUCAAAUUUAAUUAAACUACACAAUGAUGACUCAAAGACUUUAAAGAUAUUACAGUUUCAUUUUCUGUUAAUGCAUGAUUUUCUGUAAAGCUGCUUUGAAAUGAUGUGUGUUGUGAAAAGCGCUAUACAAAUAAAAAUGACUUGACAACAGCAAAAAUUA